CAAGGACGUUUUCGCAUUGUCGUUGCCAUCCACUUGGCUGAAGCUAAUUUCAUUCGGAGGGCAAACUAGGGGAUCCAGCUGAAAGGCUGGCGCCCAACGGUGGGAAUUUCAUCAGCUGUUGUUGUUUAUUUUCAAGCAGCAGUCGGCCCAAUAAAAAUGCAAUUUUUAUGGUUAAGAAAAUAGAGCGCGGCCGACGUUGCACAUUGGAAAUUGUGCAGAAGCCAGAAGAAAAUAUGUCUUGGAAAAUGGAAAAGCCCGAGCAGCGGCAGCAAUAAGCAUUGAGCUAGUGAUGUAAUACAGAGCAAAAGUGAAGCGGCAAUUGGCGUUGCAAAAAAGAAACAGAUUAUACAAUUUGUGUUGCUGCUGGAGUGAACUAGGACAACAGCAACAGCAACAGCAACAGUAAUACUUUCAGCGGCAGCAGCAGCAGCAGCAGCAGCAGCAACAACAACAACUGAUAAAGACCGGCUGGCAACAGAGAAGCGGCCACUUGCAGCAACAUAAUUUCAAAGUCGGAGCGUGGGAAUCGCAAAUCACGGCAGCAACGGCAGCAACAGCAGCAACAAUCAUCGCAGCACGGCAGCAAAAUCGCGCUCUCGUCGCUCUCCCAAUCGCUCUUUUCGCUCGCCGUUCUCGCGCUGGCGCUGCUCCGUCCCGCUUGCACCGGCGGCCCCUCUCGCUCGCACCCGCUGCGCAGCGUUCGCGUAUAUUUGGAGGCGUUGCGGCGAUCGCUCACGACAGUUGUGCUUGGAACGCUUCGGAGUGAAGAUCGUGCUCGUCCGAUCGGUGCGCGUGAUAAAUACACGGCGAAAAAAAAUUGAAUCAAGAGUUCCCCCCC